rnacentral:lncRNA from 1 species
UCAGUCAUGGGUUAGCUUAUGGUCCUUCAGGGUUGUAAGCACCGUGUGGCAUCUAGGGUGUACUCUCGAGGCGUUAUAUUUUUGAAAACCUAUUCCGGGGGUCUAUUUUGAGCCUGAACCAAAAGUAGUCAAUAUGGACGUCGUUGAUUUUAUUUUGAUGCGUAGAUUUCAUAUUUGAUAUUUUUAGAGGAGUUUGGGAUCGUUCAUGGAA